UACGGAGGGUGCAAGCAUUGAUCGGAAUUACUGGGCGUAAAGGGCGCGUAGGCGGUCUGAAAAGUCGGAUGUGAAAUUCCGGGGCUCAACCCCGGAGCUGCAUUUGAAACUCUCAGACUUGAGGUUGGUAAGGGAAAACGGAAUUCCACGUGUAGCGGUGAAAUGCGUAGAUAUGUGGAAGAACACCGGUGGUGAAGACGGUUUUCUGUGCUAAACCUGACGCUGAGGCGCGAAAGCUAGGGGAGCAAACAGG
rnacentral:rRNA from 2 species